AAAAAUCUGGAGGAUAUCACCAUUGAUCCAACUGAAAAAGUAGUGAUUGAAAAUGAAACAUCAGAAAGUGAGGAAGAAUUGAGUGAUCAUGAAGGUGAUGCAGAAAUGCAAGUAAAGCAGAUGAAACGAGCACAUGGCGAAGUUCAGGAAACAAAAGUUAACAGUGUUUGCCAAGGUCGUAAACGAGUGAAGAGGACAAUGUGGAAAGAAGAAGAAAGAAGAGCAGUGGAAAA